rnacentral:lncRNA from 1 species
UGCACAUCACAGGUAAUCCACUGAGAGAUUGGUCACAGAUGUUACCUGGUCACAUAGCCAAGCAGAUACCACCCAUGAGACCUGUGUUCUCAAGAUAAGCUGUAAUUAAUCCUCAAGUGAGAGUGUGGCAGCAUCCUUUAUCACUAAUAAAGGUCACCUGGUGACCUUGUGUGUUGGCUAAUUGCCUUUAUCCAGAGGAAAAUAAAUUUCUACCCGUAUGACAAGCUGGAGAGAGGAAACUGGGCAAGUUAGGCCCCCACCUAAGUUAAGUUAGGCUCCUGCUUUCCCAGGGAUAUAUAGGGAGAUGGGGGUAUGCCAUCUUUCUCAACGCUUGCCUUCACAGAGAUGCCUCCCAGGUGCUAGUUCUUCAAAUUGGCAAAAACUUUUAAAAGGCCAGGAUUGGUGACAGGCACCCAAAAUACUAGUGAUUAGGAAGGCUGAGUGGGAGGAUGGCAAGUUUGAGGCCAGACUAGGUAAUUUAGCGAGAUGUUUCAAAAUUUACAAAGAUAAAGCUACCAAGGCCUGGGAAUGUAGUACAGUGAUACAGACCCCCAGAUUCAAUCCCUACUACAGGGGGAAAAAACCCUUUUUUUAAAAAAAUAUCAAAGGGGCAGAAAAAGAGGGAGAAUCAACAGUUAAUUACAAGUUUUAUUUUUAAACAAUGCUCUAAGGAGGGAGGAGGUAAUUCUUCUCUGCUGUUUUUUCCAUCAGGAGGAAUUAUCAUUCUGUUAGAGUCUGUAAACAAGUCAAAAUAACACCUGGCAUUUUGCCAGGGGAAUGUUAAAGUUGGUAAACAAGUCUGGAUGGU